rnacentral:rRNA from 1 species
UACGAAGGGGGCUAGCGUUGUUCGGAAUUACUGGGCGUAAAGCGCGUGCAGGCGGUUGUUCAAGUCCGGUGUGAAAGCCUUGAGCUCAACUCAAGAAAUGCACUUGAUACUGGAUGACUAGAGGACCGGAGAGGAUAGUGGAAUUCCCAGUGUAGUGGUGAAAUACGUAGAGAUUGGGAAGAACACCAGUGGCGAAGGCGGCUAUCUGGACGGUUUCUGACGCUAAGACGCGAAAGCGUGGGGAGCAAACAGG